AACGGCGAGUGAAGCGGUAACAGCUCAAAUUUGAAAUCUGGGCCUCACGGCCCGAGUUGUAAUUUGUAGAGGAUGCUUUCGAGCAUGGUCCCGGCCUAAGUUCCCUUGGAACAGGACGUCAUAGAGGGUGAGAAUCCCGUAUGCGGCUGGGUGCCUACGCUCAUGUGAAGCUCCUUCGACGAGUCGAGUUGUUUGGGAAUGCAGCUCAAAAUGGGUGGUAAAUUUCAUCUAAAGCUAAAUAUUGGCCAGAGACCGAUAGCGCACAAGUAGAGUGAUCGAAAGAUGAAAAGCACUUUGGAAAGAGAGUUAAACAGUACGUGAAAUUGUUGAAAGGGAAGCGCUUGCGACCAGACUUGCGUGCGGCCGAUCAUCCGGUGUUCUCACCGGUGCACUCGGCCGUGCUCAGGCCAGCAUCGGUUUCGGCGGCUGGAUAAAGGCCCUAGGAAUGUGGCUCCUCUCGGGGAGUGUUAUAGCCUGGGGUGCAAUGCAGCCCGCUGGGACCGAGGACCGCGCUUCGGCUAGGAUGCUGGCGUAAUGGUCGUAAGCGGCCCGUCUUGAAACACGGACCAAGGAGUCUAACAUCUAUGCGAGUGUUUGGGUGUCAAACCCAUACGCGUAAUGAAAGUGAACGGAGGUGAGAACCCUUAAGGGUGCAUCAUCGACCGAUCCUGAUGUCUUCGGAAGGAUUUGAGUAAGAGCAUAGCUGUUGGGACCCGAAAGAUGGUGAACUAUGCCUGAAUAGGGUGAAGCCAGAGGAAACUCUGGUGGAGGCUCGCAGCGGUUCUGACGUGCAAAUCGAUCGUCAAAUUU
rnacentral:rRNA from 1 species